AACCACCUUGAAUGACAACCUCGAGCAGUUUCCAGUAUUGGAUUUAAAAGAUGGCCUUUGCUGCAUCUGCUUGAGCAAGGAAAGCCAAGAAACCUUUGCUGUGGAAGGAGAAAAUCUGGAAAGCAGGAAGGAAGAAAAGCAGCCCCCUGACUCCUCCCUGAGCCCCAGAUAGCCCAUGAACUGCCUUGCUGGGAAUGGUAGGACAGGAUGGACUCUGGAUUGCUCCCUCUGGAUGUGUGGCUCUCCCCUGCAGGAACUCCAGGAACUCCUGGUGCCGCCUGGGCCGAUGGAUUGGACGCCCCAGCCCCUCCGUUCCUGCCCAGCCACUGGGUCCGUGUCCAGUGGUGGCACUGCCAGCCCUGCAGUGGGAUGUAACCUGGAAAGUGCACAGAGCUGAGCCAAGGGAUUGAAAGGGACCAGGCAAGGGAGGUGAAGGAAGAAGGAAGAAGGGAAGUGAGGCAGCAGGCAAGCAGCACCAAGUUGCAGUGUAAGCAGGUGAGUUGUGUUGAGAUUCCUAAGGCAGGCACUGAGGACUUUGAGGGCUCCAGACAGAGCAGACCUGGGAAGGCCCUCGGUGAAACCCCUUGGAAACCUUGUAAGGGUAGGUGUGUAUGGUAAAAAGUGUUGGAAAAUGUCCUGAAUGUGGAACAGGAAUGCAGAGAAGGAAAAUGAAUCCUCCUGUAAUGUUGCCAUAUCAGCUGCAGUGGAGAUAGGUCUGUGUGCCCUUUGGGAUCUGAUUGCCAGGGCACCCGGUGGGCUGGAAUGAUUCAAGAGCAUAGGAAUAAAAGAUUGCCUGGUUUCUAAAACUCACCAGUUGACUCCUAGAGGCUUCUUUGAAGAGCUGUUUUCAGGCAACGGAAUUGGCCCCCCAGGAAGGACUCUGUGCCUGCUCUCCCGUGGCUCCAAGGGAUCUCUGGCCCUUCACGCCGGCACCGAGAUUUUCUCGGGAAGGGCCUCAGAUCCCCGGACCAGUCUGGGACACAGGCAAGAUCCCCCUGCAUUUUAGGACCAAAUUGGCCCCCUGGAGGGACAGUGCUGUUGGUGCCCCCCGGGUUGGGGCACCCCGAGGACUCCAGCGCGCACCGAAAGGAUUAUUCGGGGAGAUCCUCGGGGUGCCCGGCCCUGGGGAGCUCAAAGCAAGGUCCCUGCAAUGGAUUCAGGCAUUCCUGAGAGUAUCCCAGGGG